rnacentral:rRNA from 1 species
UACGUAGGCAGCAAGCGUUGUUCGGAAUUACUGGGCGUAAAGAGUGUGUAGGCGGUGCUCUAAGUUUGGUGUGAAAUCUCCCGGCUCAACUGGGAGGGUGCGCCGAAAACUGGAAUGCUUGAACGUGGGAGAGGAAAGCGGAAUUCCUGGUGUAGCGGUGAAAUGCGUAGAUAUCGGAAGGAACAUCAGUGGCGAAAGCGGCUUCCUGGUCCAGCACCGACGUUCAGGCACGAAAGCGUGGGGAGCAAACAGG